CGUGAGAAUCUACCCAUAGCUUAUGGUUAAAUGCCGUAGAAUCUUAUAGAUUUAGAUAUAUAUCGGUUAUGGAUGAGCUUGCGGGGUAUUAGGUAGUUGGUGUGGUAAUGGCGCACCAAGCCCAAGAUACCUAGCCGGUUUGAGAGAACGAUCGGCCACACUGGGACUGAGACACGGCCCAGACGCUUACGAGCGGCAGCAGUGGGGAAUAUUGGACAAUGGGCGAAAGCCUGAUCCAGUGAUAUCGCUUUGGGGAUGACGGCGACAUACGUUGUAAACCCAAUGAAGUACGUUUAGAUUAUGACCGUACGUAUUUUAGA
rnacentral:rRNA from 1 species